rnacentral:tmRNA from 1 species
GGGGGCGAGUAGGCUCGACGGUCAGAGUUCUAGCAGUAUAAGCGGGCCGAGAUCGCCGCGGUCUCGUUAAACAGCGGCAAGGCAAAUAACUGCCAACGAUCAGUACGCACUCGCGGCCUAAGAUAUAAGGCCGCCGUCCUCCCGCGAUUUGCCUGUGAUUGCGGAAAGGGCGUCAUCAAAGCAGGCUUGGUACCCAUUCCUAUUCUCGGUGAAAUGGGUCGACACUAAACCGAGAUAGCUCUUUGGAAGGCAUGCUUUCCGGCCAGCCAGAGAGUGAACCUGACGGGAAGCUGCGCCCGGAGAAAGUGCUGCUGGGUCCUGGUCGGACGCGGGGUGCGACUCCCCGCCGCCUCCACCA